rnacentral:rRNA from 1 species
UACGUAGGGUGCGAGCGUUACUCGGAAUUACUGGGCGUAAAGCGUGCGUAGGCGGUUCGUUAUGUCUGCUGUGAAAGCCCCGGGCUUAACCUGGGAAUGGCAGUGGAAACUGGCGGGCUUGAGUGUGGCAGAGGGGGGUGGAAUUCCGCGUGUAGCAGUGAAAUGCGUAGAGAUGCGGAGGAACACCGAUGGCGAAGGCAGCCCCCUGGGCUGACACUGACGCUCAUGCACGAAAGCGUGGGGAGCAAACAGG